AGCGGCGGAUGGGUGAGUAACACGUGGGGAACCUGCCCCUAAGUCUGGGAUACCAUUUGGAAACAGGUGCUAAUACCGGAUAAUAAAGCAGAUCGCAUGAUCAGCUUUUGAAAGGCGGCGUAAGCUGUCGCUAAGGGAUGGCCCCGCGGUGCAUUAGCUAGUUGGUAAGGUAACGGCUUACCAAGGCGACGGUGCAUAGCCGAGUUGAGAGACUGAUCGGCCACAUUGGGACUGAGACACGGCCCAAACUCCUACGGGAGGCAGCAGUAGGGAAUCUUCCACAAUGGACGCAAGUCUGAUGGAGCAACGCCGCGUGAGUGAAGAAGGUUUUCGGAUCGUAAAGCUCUGUUGUUGGUGAAGAAGGAUAGAGGUAGUAACUGGCCUUUAUUUGACGGUAAUCAGCCAGAAAGUCACGGCUAACUACGUGCCAGCAGCCGCGGUAAUACGUAGGUGGCAAGCGUUGUCCGGAUUUAUUGGGCGUAAAGCGAGCGCAGGCGGAAAAAUAAGUCUAAUGUGAAAGCCCUCGGCUUAACCGAGGAACUGCAUCGGAAACUGUUUUUCUUGAGUGCAGAAGAGGAGAGUGGAACUCCAUGUGUAGCGGUGGAAUGCGUAGAUAUAUGGAAGAACACCAGUGGCGAAGGCGGCUCUCUGGUCUGCAACUGACGCUGAGGCUCGAAAGCAUGGGUAGCGAACAGGAUUAGAUACCCUGGUAGUCCAUGCCGUAAACGAUGAGUGCUAAGUGU
rnacentral:rRNA from 1 species